UAGAACACUGGUUCCUGUAUGAUCACCAAAGUUAAGCAACAUUGAACCUGGUUAGUAUCUAGAUGGAUGACUGCUUGGGAAUACCAGGUGCUGUAAG